UACGUGGGGAGCAAGCGUUGUUCGGAUUUACUGGGCGUAAAGGGCGCGUAGGCGGCCAGCACAAGUCAGUUGUGAAAUCUCCGAGCUUAACUCGGAAAGGUCAACUGAUACUGUGCGGCUAGAGUGCGGAAGGGGCAACUGGAAUUCUUGGUGUAGCGGUGAAAUGCGUAGAUAUCAAGAGGAACACCUGCGGCGAAGGCGGGUUGCUGGGCCGACACUGACGCUGAGGCGCGAAAGCCAGGGGAGCGAACGGG
rnacentral:rRNA from 1 species